rnacentral:rRNA from 1 species
UGUAAGCGUAUACCAAAGUUGUUGCAGUUAAAACGCUCGUAGUCGGAAUUUGGCAGUUCCGGAAGUGUGCACGUCGUGUGCGCACUUUGCGGGGACUGCUUUUGUGGUCUUGCGUAGGAUGAGGCACUUUCAUUAGUGAACGUCCUCACGCAACCACUCUUUACUGUGAGAAAGUCAGAGUGCUCAAAGCAGGCAUUUGCCGUGAAUGUAUUAGCAUGGAAUAAUAGAAUAGGACUCGGUUCUAUUUUGUUGGUUUGUUGGGACUGAGUAAUGAUUAAGAGGGACAGUUGGGGGCAUUUGUAUUCCGGCGCUAGAGGUGAAAUUCUUAGAUUGCCGGAAGACAAACUGCUGCGAAAGCGUCUGCCAAGGAUGUUUUCAUUGA